GGGGGGAGGUCGGAUCCUGGGCUCUGUCCCGGCGCCCUGGGCUCCCUGGCCUGCGCUGUUGGAAUCGCCGGGCAACCCUCU
rnacentral:pre_miRNA from 1 species